rnacentral:rRNA from 1 species
UAGGGGGCCAGCGUUGUGCGGAAUUAUUGGGGGUAGAGGGCUCGUAGGCGGUCUGGCAAGUCUGGCGUGAAAUCUCUGGGCUCAACCCAGAGUCUGCUUCCGAAACUGCUGUGCUUGAGUGUGGGAGAGGCGCGUGGAAUUGCAGGUGUAGCGGUGAAAUGCGUAGAUAUCUGCAGGAACACCCGUGGCGAAAGCGGCGCGCUGGACCACUACUGACGCUGAGGAACGAAAGCUAGGGGAGCAAACAGG